rnacentral:pre_miRNA from 1 species
GUCUUUCAAUUCGGGUUUCGCGGUAUUCGAACACGUACCAAUAGCAGUUGUUCGUUGUCGUCGAAACCUGCUUUGAAAGA